UUAAGUUCAGCGGGUAUCCCUACCUGAUCCGAGGUCAACCAUAGAAAAUUAGGGGUUCUGGCAGGACACCUCCAGGACUCUAUAGCGAGAAAAGUUACUACGCUUAGAACCAGAAGGCACCGCCACUGAUUUUAAGAGCUGUCCAGAGACAGGCUCCAACACCAAGCUAGGCUUGAGGGUUAUAAUGACGCUCGAACAGG
rnacentral:misc_RNA from 1 species